UAGGGAAUCUUCGGCAAUGGGGGGAACCCUGACCGAGCAACGCCGCGUGAGUGAAGAAGGUUUUCGGAUCGUAAAGCUCUGUUGUUAAGGAAGAACGAGUGUGAGAAUGGAAAGUUCAUACUGCGACGGUACUUAACCAGAAAGGGACGGCUAACUACGUGCCAGCAGCCGCGGUAAUACGUAGGUCCCGAGCGUUGUCCGGAUUUAUUGGGCGUAAAGCGGGCGCAGGCGGUUAGAAGAGUCUGAAGUGAAAGGCAGUGGCGCAACCAUUGUAGGCUUUGAAAAAUGUUUAACUUGAGUGCAGGAGGGGGGAGUGGAAUUCCAUGUGUAGCGGUGAAAUGCGUAGAUAUAUGGGGGAACACCGGUGGCAAAAGCGGCUCUCUGGUCUGUAUCAGACGCAGAGGCUAGAAAGCGUGGGGAGCGAACAGG
rnacentral:rRNA from 1 species